rnacentral:rRNA from 1 species
GACGAACGCUGGCGGCGUGCUUAACACAUGCAAGUCGAACGGAAAGGCCCUGCUUUUGUGGGGUGCUCGAGUGGCGAACGGGUGAGUAACACGUGAGUAACCUGCCCUUGACUUUGGGAUAACUUCAGGAAACUGGGGCUAAUACCGGAUAGGAGCUCCUGCUGCAUGGUGUGGGUUGGAAAGUUUCGGCGGUUGGGGAUGGACUCGCGGCUUUUCAGCUUGUUGGUGGGGUAGUGGCUUACCAAGGCUUUGACGGGUAGCCGGCCUGUGAGGGUGACCGGCGACAUUGGGACUGAGAUACGGCCCAGAAUCCUACGGGAGGCAGCAGUGGGGAAGAUUGCACAAUGGGCGGAAGCCUGAUGCAGCAACGCAGCGUGCGGGAUGACGGCCUUCGGGUUGUAAACAGCUUUCGCCUGUGACGAAGAGUGAGUGACGGUAAUGGGUAAAGAAGCACCGGCUAACUACGUG